rnacentral:rRNA from 1 species
AUUGAACGCUGGCGGCAGGCCUAACACAUGCAAGUCGAACGAGUGGCGGACGGGUGAGUAAUGUCUGAAAAACUGCCCGAUGGAGGGAUCUGACGACUGUAACAGGUAGCUAAUAGCGCUAACCAUCCGAUGGGCCCAGAUGGGAGUAGGUAGUAGGUGGGGUAAUGGCUCACCUAGGCGACGAUCCCUAGCAGGUCUGAGAGGAUGACCAGCCACACUGGAACUGAGACACGGUCCAGACUCCUACGGGAGGCAGCAGUGGGGAAUAUUGCACAAUGGGCGAAAGCCUGAUGCAGCCAUGCCGCGUGUAUGAAGAAGGCCUUCGGGUUGUAAAGUACUUUCAGCGAGGAGGCGUUACUCGCAGAAGAAGCACCGGCUAACUCCGUGCCAGCAGCCGCGGUAAUUC